rnacentral:rRNA from 1 species
GACGAACGCUGGCGGCGUGCUUAACACAUGCAAGUCGAGCGGUAAGGCCCUUUCGGGGGUACACGAGCGGCGAACGGGUGAGUAACACGUGGGUGACCUGCCCUCAGCUCUGGGAUAAGCCCGGGAAACUGGGUCUAAUACCGGAUAUGACUUCAUGACGCAUGUUGUGGAGUGGAAAGCCUUGUGCGGCUGAGGAUGGGCCCGCGGCCUAUCAGCUUGUUGGUGGGGUGAUGGCCUACCAAGGCGACGACGGGUAGCCGGCCUGAGAGGGCGACCGGCCACACUGGGACUGAGAUACGGCCCAGACUCCUACGGGAGGCAGCAGUGGGGAAUCUUGCGCAAUGGGCGAAAGCCUGACGCAGCGACGCCGCGUGAGGGAUGAC